UACGUAGGGUGCGAGCGUUGUCCGGAAUUACUGGGCGUAAAGAGCUCGUAGGCGGUCUGUCGCGUCGGAUGUGAAAACCCAGGGCUCAACCCUGGGCCUGCAUUCGAUACGGGCAGACUAGAGUUCGGUAGGGGAGACUGGAAUUCCUGGUGUAGCGGUGAAAUGCGCAGAUAUCAGGAGGAACACCGGUGGCGAAGGCGGGUCUCUGGGCCGAAACUGACGCUGAGGAGCGAAAGCGUGGGGAGCAAACAGG
rnacentral:rRNA from 1 species